rnacentral:rRNA from 1 species
CCCCCCCCAAGAUGAGAUAUCCCACAGCGUAAGCUGGUAAGACCCCAAGUAGACCACUUGGUAGAUAGGCCGGGAGUGUAAGAGCAGUAAUGCUUUCAGCCGACCGGUACUAAUAGGUCGAGGGCUUGACUAU